UGACGCUGAGGUACGAAAGCGUGGGGACCGAACAGGAUUAGAUACCCUGGUAGUCCACGCUGUAAACGAUGAUCACUCGUCGUUGGCGAUAUACUGUCAGCGACUGAGCGACAGCAUUAAGUGAUCCACCUGGGGAGUACGACCGCAAGGUUGAAACUCAAAGGAAUUGACGGGGGCCCGCACAAGCGGAGGAACAUGUGGUUUAAUUCGAUGAUACGCGAGGAACCUUACCUGGGCUUAAAUGCAGCACGACGGACCGGGAAACUGGUCUUUAAUCGGACGGACUGCAAGGUGCAGCAUGGCUGUCGUCAGCUCGUGCCGUGAGCUGUCGGGUUAAGUCCCAUUAUGAGUGCAACCCUCAUUAUUAUUUGCCAGCGGGUAAUGCCGGGGACUCUAAUGAAACUUCCGGUGUAAACCGAGAGGAAGGUGGGGAUGACGUCAAGUCAGCACGCCACUUAUGUCCAGGGCUACACACGUGUUACAAUGGUCGGUACAAAGGGCAGCUACCUGGCAACAGGAUGCUAAUCUCGAAAACCGAUCUUAGUUCGGAUCGAAGUCUGCAACUCGACUUCGUGAAGCUGGAUUCGCUAGUAAUCGCGCAUCAGCCACGGCGCGCUGAAUACGUUCCCGGCCCUUGUACACACCGCCCGUCAAGCCAUGGAAGCUGGGGGUAC
rnacentral:rRNA from 1 species